rnacentral:rRNA from 1 species
GACGAACGCUGGCGGCGUGCUUAACACAUGCAAGUCGUACGGUAAGGCCCUUUCGGGGGUACACGAGUGGCGAACGGGUGAGUAACACGUGAGUAACCUGCCCACAACUUUGGGAUAACGCUAGGAAACUGGUGCUAAUACUGGAUAUGUGCUCCUGCUGCAUGGUGGGGGUUGGAAAGCUCCGGCGGUUGUGGAUGGACUCGCGGCCUAUCAGCUUGUUGGUGGGGUAGUGGCCUACCAAGGCGGCGACGGGUAGCCGGCCUGAGAGGGUGACCGGCCACAUUGGGACUGAGAGACGGCCCAGACGCCUACGGGAGGCAGCAGGGGGGAAGAUUGCACAAGGGGCGCAAGCCUGAUGCAGCAACGCCGCGUGCGGGAUGACGGCCUUCGGGUUGUAAACCGCUUUCAGCAGGGACGAAGCUUUUUGUGACGGUACCUGCAGAAGAAGCACCGGCUAACUACGUG